rnacentral:tRNA from 1 species
GCCUGGGUGGCUCAGUUGGUUGGGCAUCUGCCUUCAGCUCAGGUCAUGAUCUCACAGUUCAUGGGUUUGAGCCCCAUGUCAGGCU